AAUUUUGAUGAAAAGAAAUUGUUUGGUAUAGAUUGAAACGAAUUUUGCGUUAUGAACAUUAUUGAGAUAUAACGUUUUUAUAUUGUCUCCAUCUACUCGGCUUUAGAUGCUUUUGAUGGUAAUUGUUUACUCACUGGGAUUAUGUAAUCUCACCCCUCUUCCUAUCCAUUUUUCAAGCUCAGGACAGUUUGUUGAUAGUUGAUUAAGAC
rnacentral:lncRNA from 1 species